rnacentral:rRNA from 1 species
AUUGAACGCUGGCGGCAGGCCUAACACGUGCAAGUCGAGCGGAUGAAGGGAGCUUGCUCCUGGAUUCAGCGGCGGACGGGUGAGUAAUGCCUAGGAAUCUGCUUGGUAGUGGGGGAUAACGUCCGGAAACGGGCGCUAAUACCGCAUACGUCCUGAGGGAGAAAGUGGGGGAUCUUCGGACCUCACGCUAUCAGAUGAGCCUAGGUCGGAUUAGCUAGUUGGUGGGGUAAAGGCCUACCAAGGCGACGAUCCGUAACUGGUCUGAGAGGAUGAUCAGUCACACUGGAACUGAGACACGGUCCAGACUCCUACGGGAGGCAGCAGUGGGGAAUAUUGGACAAUGGGCGAAAGCCUGAUCCAGCCAUGCCGCGUGUGUGAAGAAGGUCUUCGGAUUGUAAAGCACUUUAAGUUGGGAGGAAGGGCAGUAAGUUAAUACCUUGCUGUUUUGACGUUACCAACAGAAUAAGCACCGGCUAACUUCGUG